AGCGAACGCUGGCGGCAGGCUUAACACAUGCAAGUCGAGCGGGCACUUUCGGGUGUCAGCGGCGGACGGGUGAGUAACGCGUGGGAACGUGCCCUCCGGUUCGGAAUAACUCAGGGAAACUUGAGCUAAUACCGGAUACGCCCUUUUGGGGAAAGGCUUGCUGCCGGAGGAUCGGCCCGCGUCUGAUUAGCUAGUUGGUGAGGUAACGGCUCACCAAGGCGACGAUCAGUAGCUGGUCUGAGAGGAUGAUCAGCCACACUGGGACUGAGACACGGCCCAGACUCCUACGGGAGGCAGCAGUGGGGAAUAUUGGACAAUGGGCGCAAGCCUGAUCCAGCCAUGCCGCGUGAGUGAUGAAGGCCUUAGGGUUGUAAAGCUCUUUUAUCCGGGACGAUAAUGACGGUACCGGAGGAAUAAGCCCCGGCUAACUUCGUG
rnacentral:rRNA from 1 species